ACACUAUGAUAAAUGAAAAGUGAUUAGAGACUGGGUAAUAAUUAUUCAUGUGUGCUACAUGUUCUGACUCUUCUUAUAGUGCACAUUGUAAUGGUUAGCAUACCAUGCAGAGUAAUUAACGGUUCGUUGGUGAAAGAAGGUAAUUUGAGGUUAUUGUUGGUGAAAGAAGGUAAUUUGAGGUUAUCUUUGUAUAUCUGCUAUCAAGUAUUACUGACGACAACAAAAUAGUCACUUGGAAAAACAGCACUUAAGUUUUAAGAAAGUACCUG
rnacentral:lncRNA from 1 species